rnacentral:rRNA from 1 species
UACGUAGGCAGCAAGCGUUGUUCGGAAUUACUGGGCGUAAAGAGUGUGUAGGCGGUGCUCUAAGUUCGGUGUGAAAUCUCCCGCUUAACUGGGAGGGUGCGCCGGAAACUGGAGUGCUCGAGCGUGGGAGAGGAAAGCGGAAUUCCUGGUGUAGCGGUGAAAUGCGUAGAUAUCAGGAGGAACACCUGUGGUGUAGACAGCUUUCUGGACCA